AUGGAUGAGGAGGAAUUGUUUGAUGAGGAGCCACCUUACACGUGUGACCCCCACCACAAUUGCAUUGACAAAUUCAUUGUUUGCCAAGAGGAGCUGAUGGGCCUUUUUGCCAUCUGUCCGGCCUGUUGUGAGAGGUCGGAUAGUAGCAUUGUGCAGCAGGAAGGAACUUUUGUUAAGAUCAAGCAGGUACAGUUUUGUUUAUGCAGUUUUUGUUUACGCAGCCAUCUGAUUAGAAAAUCAGAAUACCUAAUUACAAUCUGAUAGCUCUGACUGUCUUGCCAGUUAAUUUACAAUGUAUGUACCAGGCUGGCUUUAGUCUGCUGGUUUGUGAUGCCAUCCUAUUUGAGUGUUAUACUGUAUUGGUCAUGUGUGUUUGAUUGAAAAUACGAAACCUUUGACCAGUAAUGUAAAGUACUUACUCUAUAUUGAAUCCUGAUAUACUGUUGAUUACUGUUUUCUUUUCUUUUCCACAGGAACAUGCCAACCUGCAACCUCCUGUUAAGUGGGGCCAUUAAUUUUAUUCAAAUUAUCGAGUAAUUCAUUAAUCGAUAGUUGUUUCAUCUUAUCGAUCGAUGAUCGAUUAAUCGAUAAGCGGCAAUUCUUCUGAGAAGCUGAAUUUCCUUCUGAAUGUGACACAUUUAGGUGGUAAUUCAACGAAGUCGUUUAGUUGUACUUUAAAAUACUUCCACAUAUUGUGCAUUUGGCGUCUUUGUCGUCAUUAACCAACUUAAAGUGGCUCCAUACUGCACUCCGUUUUGCCCUCUUCAUCGUGUCAGUAGCUGUGUUCGGAAUCGUUCCCUAUCAUGGAUGUAGUGCACUAAAUAGGGUGCACGGCAUUUUGUAGGGUGUUCGAAUUCUCAGUGGUCCACUAUAUAGGUUACUAUAUAGUGGACUUAAAAUAGGGUACAUACGAUGUUCCCUACAUGUUACCUCCGUAUACCACAAUGCAAUGCGGUUGUAUCUUUCCAGGGGAGAAGAAGAAGCUGAAUAACCGCGAAAACGAAUACAUUUAAUGAUGGAGUCUCCGGCUUGUGUUUAGAAAUGUCAACAAUUUAUUAGGGAUUUAACAUAGAAUAUUUAACAUUCAAAAUUAAUUUAAAAAAACUUGAACAAGGAAAUGUAACAUUCAACAUCAAUACAACUUACAGCCCGGUUUGUUUAGAUGAUGUCGGCGCAUCACGUCACACAAAUACCAGGCGCAUUUACUGACGCAAAUGACGUUUAGAAAUGUUCAGGGUAGUGUCCGAAUUCUCGUUCCCUAUUCCCUAUAUAGUGCACUAUAUCAUGUACACUAUAUAGGGAAUAGGGAACGAGUUUUCGCGGUUAUUCAGCUUCUUCUUCUCCCCUGGAAAAAUACAACCGCAUUGCAUUGUGGUAUACGGAGGUAACAUGUAGGGAACAUCGUAUGUACCCUAUUUUAAGUCCACUAUAUAGUAACCUAUAUAGUGGACCACUGAGAAUUCGAACACCCUACAAAAUGCCGUGCACCCUAUUUAGCGCACUACAUCCAUGAUAGGGAACGAUUUCGAACACAGCUCUAGUGUCCCGCUUUUCGUUUGUCUUGUCCUGCUUCUUCGCUUGUGUUCCCGCGUGUGCGUGAAGUACGUCUGGCGUCAAGCGCGCCCUCACGUGGACGGUUGGGGAAUUACGGGUUAAAAAUGCGAUUAAUUGCAAGUAAUUUAUUUUAAUCGAGUAAUCUCUUAUCGACAAUUAAUCGAUAAUCAAUGAAUUGUUUGCAUCCCUACAUGUGACCUUUGUGAUGAAAUUAUUUUUUCAUUCCCUUGCAAUCUCAUAACAUUCUGUUUACUGUUUGCUAUAAUUCAUAUGCAGGACAAUUUCAUGUGUGUUUCCAUUUAAAAAAGGAAUUCUGUCUGUAUCUAUCGUCUAUUUGUAUGUUUUCCGUCUGUGUGUCUGUCUGCCUCCCUGCCUACCUGUCUUGGUCUUUGCAGGCUCAUUGGCAGCAGUCAUAUUGGAGAACAUAAUGAUGAGGGCUGCCUUACUGAAAGAUGUUCGACAGCUGUCUCCACAGCACCAGACCUUCUCCCUUGAGGCUUACCACUCCCUCAUCUUGCACUUCGCGCCCAAGCACACAGGGUUUUCAUACCUUGGGAUGUAUAGCAGGUCAGUGCUAUCCAAUGGAAUAACACUGCCAAUUAUUAUUCCUUUUAUAGUAAUAAUAGUACCUACCUAUUAACAUGCCUAUUGUAGUAUUUUGUCAUACAUACACCAAGUUUCAAAGGUUUUCUCGAAUGUGUUAUUUUGUAGGCUUCUCUUAGCGGCGCUGCAUUAUAAUCACAAUGCCAAUAGCGAGACAGCACGGAGAAGUGACGGGUCGGAGAAGUAAUGCGUGCGGUAUCCGCGCUUCAGAAAAGGUGCCCAUGUGGUGCGUCGCAUCAAAGAGGCAGCCUCAUACGGUAAGCAGUGUCAUGCAGUUCUAUCAUAUUUUGAGAUGGCGCACGAGACAUCGGUGAUCAGUGACAAUGAUCUUUAUAAAGUCAUAUUAUUAUUAUAAUUAAUAUUAUUAUUAUUAUGUCUGCAGGUUAUGCAACAUCAUUAAUGAAGGCCCUUCGGGAGAGCUACGCCAGUUCACCCGCGGUUCUUCGAGAGGUUAGCGCCAAUUCGUCCUCCGAUGCACCCGCCCCCAUCGCCAAAUCCUUCCAACAGAUUCCUAAGGAGGAGGCCGUCAGCCUCUACCUAGCCCGGCAGUCACGCUACAAGAAAACCUAAUUUCACAUUAUUAUUUUUUUCCACGGACAAGUCCAAUAAUUUAGUUGUUAUUAUUUGCAUGAAAUUUCUUUGUAUGUAAUUCAAAAUAAUUUGGCAAUCAUUUUACCUGUGCCUUGUCAACCUCUGUGUGCGGUGUUGUCUGGGCUCACUGUGUGUCUGCUUGAUGUGCUUUUGCAUGUAUGAAUGCAUGAAAUAGUGUGUGUGUGUGUGUGUGAGAGAAAGAGAACCAUCAACUGACCCUCGGGUAUGACCACACUAUUGCAGAAUUAAUUAGAAUUAGAAUUAAACAUUGCGGGUCUAGCCCUUCAGGGUUCCUUGUAUGUUUUGUGCCUAACCAUUUUUUUAUAUAGAUUUAAUUCCAACCUGUUUCUUUGUUCAGUAACCAUUACAAGCGAUGCCAAUAAACUUUUUUUUUAUCCAAAAUUCAUGUGUUCUGUGUACUUUAUAACAUUUUAAGGGCAAUUGAAUGAUCACAACAGAAUAGGCAUAACAAUUAUUUUUAUUCCUUUUCAUCCAAACAAGGCCAUUGAAAGCCCUGAUAGGUCUGGUCACCAUUCUGGAAUUGCUGCCUGAUGGUUGAAACCACACAAGAGGGUAGAGGCUUCCUUAUACUCCUCCCUGAAACGCCAUAAGCCCAGAGUAUAGCCUGCCUGUACACAGUGUACCGGUAUGGCCU
rnacentral:lncRNA from 1 species